UACGUAGGGUGCGAGCGUUAAUCGGAAUACUGGGCGUAAAGCGUGCGCAGGCGGUGAUGUAAGACAGGUGUGAAAUCCCCGGGCUUAACCUGGGAACUGCAUUUGUGACUGCAUUGCUGGAGUGCGGCAGAGGGGGAUGGAAUUCCGCGUGUAGCAGUGAAAUGCGUAGAUAUGCGGAGGAACACCGAUGGCGAAGGCAAUCCCCUGGACCUGUACUGACGCUCAUGCACGAAAGCGU
rnacentral:rRNA from 1 species